AUGCAUGGAGUAAAAUCUCUUGAGCAAACGGAAGCCAGACUUUGGAAUCCUUUCCUGAUGUACUUGGAAAACUCCGAGCAGAGUAAGGUCUCCGGGGAGGGGGGGCUGUCUGCUGAGGCCAUGCUGGCUGAACAAUGCCCGCUUCCCAGUUUAACCGAAGCUGUGGAUUUAAGCAGCCCUUUAAAGGGAAGUGCCAAACUUGGCUUGAAAGUCCUCGUGGAAUUUAGGGAGCAGACUGUCAGCGAGGAAAUGGACCCUUCUAUUGUUUGUCUGGAUAUCUGCAACAGGAGUAGAGAUGAGACAGAAUCUUGCACAUAUUGCAAUGGACACUGUGAGAGCUUUGAGCAAUACCCAGAAAGCGACGGGUUUUUCGAAUCCAACCAGAUCCUCGAUCAGUGUGAAACUCCCGGGUUAAGCCAAGCAUUUGAGAAAUGUGCUCACCACUGUGUGAGCUUUAAACCUCGCAAGUCUUCUGAGCACUCCACUAAUCAUAGCUUAGCUUCCCAAUGUAGUUGUUGCUGUGAACAGUGUGCAGGACGCCUCCUGUUAUUUCAGCAGUGUAAGCCCUCUAAUCAACAGUUUGAGUCUUUUGACUCGGAGCCAGCUUCAGUGGCCGUGGACUGUGAGGGUUUUGGGCAGUGUGAGAUGUCUGAUUUCAUACCUGAUGGCACAGAACACCUCGGGUUGCUGCAACAAUACGAAGCCUCUGAUCAGCAGUACGAGUGCUCUGACUCUGAGGCUGACACGUCGACAGAAGACUCUGAGCAAUGUGAAACGACCAGUUUCACUCGCAAUAUCUCCAAUUCUAUGGACUUAUUGGACUGCGUGGCCGAGCUUUAUGAGUACGACGAAUGCACCGACGAGGACGGCGGAGAGGGCUGUCCACCCGAAGGAGAGGACGAGCAAAGCGAUAUCGAGCCUGUCGAUGACGAGUCCCUCACAUUAUCACAGGACGCGAACACCUCGCAGUUCGACCGGCCCGUUCGGGUUUAUUUUGAGGACCGUAAAGAUGUUCCCUCGGUGAGUGACUGCUGUGCGACCCACCAGCUCGCUGAGGAAAACGUGGCACAGGCCGUUGCGUUGAACAUGUCCACUGAGGACUGUGAAACGUGGGGAACGGCUUAUUGUGACACCAGCCAAGAGCGCGAUGAAGACAGUGCUACUCCGGAGCAGUCCGAGUUUGGGACUGAAGAAGACGGUUCUUCCGAUUGCUCCUCCAUUGAAACCAAAUCCUUUAAGACCUGUCCCGACGGCAGCAUUCCCUCAGACCACUGCUCUGAUUCAUCCGGGGAAUCCGAGAAAGGCGCGCAGGAGGACUCAACCGAUGAGCACGCGCAGUGGGAAUCUUUUGAGGACGAUGAUGAAACACCCCAAAGCGAUAUUGACGGAAGCGACGAGGAGAAAGCGCCCGCCGCUGAUGCUGUUGUCGAGGACUUUUUUGAUCUGUUCGACAGCGGUGACUUCUGCAGACACGCGUUCGCACAGAAGCAGCGUUACAUCUCCUGCUUCGACGGGGGAGACAUCCACGACCGCCUGCACCUUGAAGACCUGCGAUGCAAGGCGCAGACGCUGGCCAGAAAGGCCUUUGAAUCUGAGCGAGUCAGCGAGGACUUUCCUGUGCAGGAAACCGAUGUAUGUUUGGAUGCUCUGGAAGAAGCUUAUGAAGAUACGUGUGAGGAGGAUGCAAGUCAGAUCGGUGAUGGCUCAUUUGGGUCUGAUGACAACUCAAGUCUAGCAGGGGAUGAAGUUGAGGAAGAUGAAUCUCAAUGGCAUACAGAGGAAGAUGAGAACCCUGCGUUUGACAGCCAUGUUUCUGAAAUCAGUACUGAAGAAGAAGAAGAAGACAAAGAAGAAGCUGAGCUGUGGGAAAGGGUUAGUACGCCAUGUGCAGGGGACAUCUCUGUUGAAGGUGACGCUUAUGAAGAUGAAGCUUUUGCCGCUCAGCAUUAUGAAUCUCUUCAGGUCAAUACCGCUACCACUGGUGAUUUACACACAACGGUCACUGAGCCUGAAGACCAAGCACUUAGCGCUUGUUCCGAGGUGGAGCCAUAUUGGUCACUCGUUGAUCAGGAGGACGAUGGAGAGACAUUUGAGCUCAGUGUCGAGGAAUACUAUGCAAAUCAGGUGAAAAGCAUCCAGUCAUCUGUUAAACAAGCCCUGAAUGGAUUUAUCCUUCUAGGAAGUUUGUGUGAUCAUAUAAUCCACGAGGAUGCUUCAGAGGAGGGCAAAGAGCUCCCAUUUGGAAUUACUAGAGUUAUCACACUGAGAGAUGAUUCGACCGACGGCUCCGCUGUGGAAGAAGCCACCGAAGAAAAAGCUCCCGAAUCAGCUUGUGAUCGUGGAUUCAGUGACACGUCAUUAGCAAUAAAUCCUACGUUGGAUAUUAUUCACAGUGUUACAAAAAACGAAGGAAGAGUCGUGCCAACGUUGGUCAGAAGGACGGAGGGAAAUGAGGCCUCUGAAGAAGGCGUGGAUUCAGACGAGGAGCAGAGUGACGACGAGUCCACCGAGCCUUGCCAAUGCGAGUACUGCCUUCCACCAAUCGAGGAGGUAUAA
ensembl:lncRNA